GCGCCCUUAGCGUAAGCUGGAUAGAGCACUUGACUACGAAUUAAGUGGUCAGAAGCUCGAAUACUCUGGGGCGCGCCA
rnacentral:tRNA from 1 species